rnacentral:lncRNA from 10 species
CUACCGGUCAGACUCCAGGUCUUAUAUCUUGAAACUGUAAGUCCCUGAAUUCACAGACAAUUCAGAGUAAGGAUGGAGGCAAAGAAGAGGACCUUGGGUUUACUGUUCACGAGGAUGACCUCAUAAAGGUGUUCAGUGAUGAAGAGGAGUGGCUGAAGAGGAGGAUAAUAAAACAGAAUAUUUACAUAUUGCUUCAUAUUCCCCCAGGAUAUUUUUAGAUUACCACAAUAUCCUAAGAGUUUGUUUAUGCAUGCUUUAUAGACCUGUAUCUGUGGUUAAAAAAGAUACAUAAAUACUUUAAAAUUUUAUAAUACAAGAGUAUAAGUUACCUGAUUUUUUAUGUGUUCCGCAGAUGGCUGUCUAGAGUCAACACAAACCUACCCCAAAGUUUGACCUUUGCCUUAAGUCAGUAACUGAGGAGGGCCACGGUCCUGAGUUCAGUCCAGACCCCAGGAAGAUUCAGAGCCUGCAGUUGUCCUCUGGUUUCUAAAGUAUGUUAUUGGGCUAAAGAUUUCAAGACAUUUAUCCUUCUUUGCUUUCUAUCGCAGCCAUUAAAUGUUUUAGAUAUUUUCUGCCAGAAGGCAGGAAUCAUGAAGAUAACAAAUAUUAAAGACAAAACCAAAUAACUUUUAAUGAGAAGGUCAGUCCGUGGUUUGAGUCUUUGGAAAGAAAUCAAGAACUCUGACUAUACUUGCUAUUUGACCAUUGAUUCUCUAGUGGAAAUGGGCAAAUCUUUUAUACCAGGGCAAAUUUUUCAGUAACGGGCCAGACAGCAAAUAUUUUAGGAAUUGUGGGCCAUACAGUCUCUCUCCCAACUACUUAACUCUUCAGCAUAGCAUAAAAGCAGCCAUAAACAAUACUACAACAAG